CCUUGGAGACAGGAAUUCAUCCUUGAUGCUGUAACCAGUCCAGCAGGAAAGCCCUGAGAAGCCAAGGUGCCAGAAUUUUGAACUGGAAGGAAGCCUGGAUGUUAUGUAGCAUACUCUCCUCGUUUAACAGUCACUAGAUUUGAGAUAUGAAGAAAUUAGAAGAUAAAUCUAAGGUCACAGACCUCAUAUGGAGUUAUGUGAGAAAGAGAAGAGGGAAAGAAAAGAGAAAGAAAUAAAACAUUUAUAGAGUGCCUACUUCAUGCCACGUACUGUUCUAGGUAAGCCCUUUAUAAAUAUUCUCUCUUUUGAUCUUAACAGCAACUCGGUAAAGUAGGUGGUGUUAUUGUUUCUAUUUUAUUGUUGAGGCAACAGAGAUAUGCAACUAAGUGUUUGAGGCCACAUAUGAACAUAGAUCUUCCUGACUACAAGCCCAGUCUUCUAUCUUCUGUGCCCCCUAGUUUUCUACUGGGCAAACUGAAGUUAAAUGAGUUGCCUAAGGUCACACAGUUAGUAAGUGUCUGAGGACAGAUUUGAACUCAGAUCUUCUUGACUCAAGGUCCAGCACUCUUAACUCCUGCAGUUAGGUGGUACUGAGAUUGUAAAUUCAGAGUGGAGAGGGACCUUAAGAACUAUUUAGCAUUAUCAUCUCUUUAUUUGACAGAUGAAGAACUGAAUCCUAGAGAGGUAAGUGACUUGCCUAGCGUAUCAGAGAUAGUAAGAAGCAGAGCUGGGAUUUGAACCCAGAGUCUCUAACUAUAAAAUCAUAAUGCUUUCCACAGUACCAGGUGGCCAUUGCCUUUUCUGCUUACGUGGUCCAUGUAUAGUUAGGAAGUGACUCCAUAACAAAGCAAGAAAUACUGUCUUUCAGUGGUCUCAAAACCAACUUCUUUUGGU